rnacentral:rRNA from 1 species
AACGAACGCUGGCAGCGUGGAUUAGGCAUGCAAGUCGAACGAGAAACCAUCUGUUCAAUCUUUCGAGAGAGAACAGGUGGUGGACAGUGGCGGAAGGGUGAGGAACACGUGGGUAAUCUGCCUCUGAGUUGGGGACAACCCUGGGAAACCGGGGCUAAUACCGAAUAUGAUCGCAUCACGCCUGUGAUGCUGAUUAAAGGUGGGGAUCUUCGGACCUGCCGCUUAGAGAGGAGCCCGCGUCCCAUCUGCUUGUUGGUGAGGUAAUGGCUCACCAAGGCUUACGGGUAGCUGGUCUGAGAGGAUGGUCAGCCACGCUGGGACUGAGACACUGCCCAGACUCCUACGGGAGGCUGCAGUCGAGGAUCAUUCGCAAUGCGCGAAAGCGUGACGAUGCGACGCUGCGUGGAGGAUGAAGGCCCUAGGGUCGUAAACUCCUGUCACGAGGGAAAAGUAACCCGCCGGUCAAUACCCGGUGGGAUCGAUGGUACCUCAAGAGGAAGCCACGGCUAACUCUGUGCCAGCAGCCGCGGUAAUACAGAGGUGGCUAGCGUUGUUCGGAUUUACUGGGCGUAAAGGGUGCGUAGGUGGUUUCGUGUGUCGGAUGUGAAAGCCCAUGGCUCAACUGUGGAACUGCAUUCGAAACUGCAGAACUAGAGU